rnacentral:lncRNA from 1 species
UAGAAAAUAUGAUCUCAUCUAUUCUUUUGCUUAUAGGUGGCACUAAAUACUUGUUUGAACAAUCAAAUUACACUGCAAGGUGAUCAAAAAAUCACCUUCCGAUGUAAUUUUGGACUACAUAGUUGGUGAUUGGAACAGUAUACUAUGCAUGCCUGUAUUCAUAACCAUCAGUAACUUAAAACUAAACUCGUAAUAUGGUCUAUUAACACCGCAAGCCUGGACCUUUUUUCUGUAAUACAUUAAGAUAUCAUGUCCUAUCUUGAGCAGAGAAAAAAAAUUGGUAUUCAACUAACCACACAUUCUGUAAGAAAACAAAAAAAAAAAAAAACUCUAAACCCACCGUCUGCACUACAAGAAAAACAGGGUCAUACAACGGUUUAUCACCGUUGUCUGUCAUAUCAGGAUUCCGUUGAAUAUCGAGGCGAUAUCUGAUUAAGUGUCACACAAUGGUUAUUCAACAGUUGUUGAAACGAGAUUGCCACAAUGGUUUCAGAACACUUGUUUGAAAGAACAUGACACAACAACUUGUAAAAGAAAACCGGUUGUUGAAACCACUUAACACAAUAGUGUAGUGGAAGAAAUACUUGUAUGAAAUAUUUUCACACGACAGUUUUUUAAUGUAACCUUUGUUUGUUUGCUUAUAUACAAGUGUUUUAUAGAAAUGCACAAUUGUUUGGAAGCUCAAGCACAAUGUCAAAGUUUAUUUAAAGUUUAUUUACACGGUUGUACUUAUUAUACACACACAAUGGUUUAACAUAUAAAAACUGUUAUCUGAAAGCUUAGCUGCAACAAUUUAGAUCCAAAACUCAGUUUUUUUUAUUUAACACACAAUGGUUUAUAUAACUUAAAACAAUUGUUUUAAAGUGUAUGCAAAACAGUAUAGUUCAUACCAAAUGUUAUUUUUAGUUUAGUUACACAAUGGUUUAGCAAAUAAUCCAUUGUUUCUGUUUCUUCAUAAAAGGUGGUUUACUAGUUUUUGAUAUAUAACUUGUCCUCAUGCAUUUACAAAAAUAUCAAAUACAAUAACUACAUGAAAAAUUAAUNNNNNNNNNNNNNNNNNNNNNNNNNNNNNNNNNNNNNNNNNNNNNNNNNNNNNNNNNNNNNNNNNNNNNNNNNNNNNNNNNNNNNNNNNNNNNNNNNNNNNNNNNNNNNNNNNNNNNNNNNNNNNNNNNNNNNNNNNNNNNNNNNNNNNNNNNNNNNNNNNNNNNNNNNNNNNNNNNNNNNNNNNNNNNNNNNNNNNNNNNNNNNNNNNNNNNNNNNNNNNNNNNNNNNNNNNNNNNNNNNNNNNNNNNNNNNNNNNNNNNNNNNNNNNNNNNNNNNNNNNNNNNNNNNNUAUGUGUACCACAGAUCAUGAAAUAACGAGAUGCUCUUUCCCUAUUCAUUCCAAAGGUUAUCUAGUUCACAAAUUCUAUUGUUGGACAUCCUACUAUACCAAAGUGCAUCUCCAGGUGCCUGAGGUGUGUAUUGGUCAAAUUCAUUUAUGGUAUCUAGCAAUCAAUAUUCCAGAUUUAAGAGACUCAAUGACAGAUAUUAAUUUCAUAACUAGAACAUGUGUUGGAAGCCAUUGACGUCACUAUCCAACUAUCGACAGACUAACUAGGCAAUAGGUUAUAUCUGAUAAACUACUUUAAUCACCAACAUAACCAAGUUUAAGAGACAAUUAACGGUAAAGAGACAACUUUAAGAUUUUAAACACAAAAACACCCAUUUUGAGAUAUAUAUUCAAGGAUAACAAGAAUUAGCACAUCAAAAUAUUCAAGUAAUUUUUGUGAUAGAUAAGUCAAAACAAAUACAAAACUCAAGAUUUCCAUUAAUAAACAAGUGAUUUCUCUUAAGAUUUUAACAGAAUGGAGCUACCUCAAAGCCAGAGAGUUGCUCCUUAGUAAACUUAAUGGUCAAACUGGUAACAACGACAGCAUUGUUAAGCUCUUGCAGCUUGCUGUUGAACAUAAACAAGUGCCCUGCUCUUACCAACAUCAUUCUGUGUGAAUAUAAAGUUGCUAGACAAAUCCAACAAUUCACCAUUGCCUUUGUCAUGCAGGGUCACGGACUUGAAACCAAGUAUAAGAUUCUUUGCUACAUUAGAUUAGAAGAAUAUAUUAUUCAACUUAAAAAGUUUCGGAAAAUUAGAUAGACAUAUGAGGUCAUUUUUAGUCCCAAGAUGGGCAGACACCCUGGACCAUAUAUGCUAAUAUGUAAAAACAAUAAAAACAUAAAUCAAUAGGCAUGUUUACUAUGAGAAACACAUACUUACCAUAGGCAUAUAUCCCUAAAAGAGGAUUCUCCUGCAAUUUCAUAGAACAAAAAAAUGUCAUAACUUAAUGGUAAAAUGUGAACAUGGGAAUAUACUUUGUUCGAAACAAUCACAAUUACAAAAUACCGGUUAAUACCUAUCAUAAUUAGUGAGUAUCAACAAGCCCCAAAUCCAAAUCUCUAACUUACAUAAUAAUAUAGCCACAAAUCGAAGCCAUAAUUCACUGAACAAGCUCCAAAUCGAAAAUCCAAAUCGAGGAAGCACUGAAAUCAAAGAGAGAGAUAACUUAAUUGAAGUUUCACCCAAUACAUCCAAUUAAUUGAACUCAAAAAUGAAGAACCCUAAGCUGAAAAAGCCUCAUCCGAAAUCUUCAAAAUGGAACACAGAUCAAUCGAGAAGUCUAAAUUUGAAACAAAAUACAUACUACUUCGAAGAAAUUAAAGAAUUUGAAGAGACUUUUACAAGAGAUAGUUGUACAAGAGAGAGUGAAAGAGAUAGAAAUUGAGAUCUAUGUUUUGUUAAAAGUGAAGCAGAGGAACAAAAUUAAUGGGCGGCAUAUUUGCCGCUCUACUAUUUCAUGGGCCUUUGUGCCAUUUAAUAUUAUUAUAGAUAUAUAUUUAAUUUUUUUGAGACUUUAAAAUAAAAAAAUUUGCAUCUUAUAAUAUAUAAUAAUUUUUAAGUUAAUUAUGUUUAUUAUUAUGCAUAAAAAAUUAUGCAUCUUAUUUUAGUGACAUACAAAAAUAAUAAAAAAAUAAUAAAUUUAUUUUGUACGACUUAUUAAGAAAGAUCUAAUGAAAUUACUAAAUCCCUAAAACUUGACUCGUGCCAGAUUAAUAGAAAUAUUUUUUAAAAUAAAUUUUUCAUCGAUCUAACCGUACGGAUGUUAUAGCCACUCAUUUUAGUCAUGUAAAAAAAUAAAUAAAUUUAUCUUGAUUAACUUUUUAUUGAAAUUCUAGUAAAAUUACAAUUCCCCAAAACAGAAUUUGUAACUGAUUAACUGAAAUAUUAUUUGAAAUAAAUUUUUCAAUGAUCCAACCGUACGGAUGUUAAUACCCACUCAUUUUAGUAUUUUACUAAAAUAAUCAAAAAAUAAAAAAUUGAUCUUGUACAACUUCUUAAUAAAAAUCUAGUAAAAUUACUAGUCUCUAAAAUGAGAUUGGUGCCGGAUUGACUGAAAUAUUUUUUGAAAUGAAUUUUUCAACGAUCCAACCGUACGGAUGUUAAUACCCACUUAUUUUAUUCAUGUACAAAAAUAAUCAAAAAAUAACAAAUUUAUAUUGUAUGACUUUUUAAUAAAAAUCUUAUAAUAUUACAAGUCCCUAUAAUGUGUCUCGUGCCAGAUUAACUGAAAAAUUAUUUGAAAUGAAUUUUUCAACGAUCUAACCGUAAGGAUGUUAAUACUCACUUAUUUUAUUCAUGUACAAAAAUAAUCAAAAAAAUAAUAAAUUUAUAUUGUAUGACUUUUUAAUAAAAAUCAAAUAAUGUUACUAUUCCCUUACAUGAGACUCGUGCCAGAUUAACUGAAAUAUUUUUUGAAAUAAAUUUUUCAAUGAUUCAACUGGACAGAUGUUAAUACCCACUUAUGUUUGUAAUGUAGAAAAAUAAUCAAAAAAAUAAUAAAUUUAUCUUAUAAAACUUUUUAAUAAAAAUCUAGUAAAAUUACUAGUCUCUAGAACAAGAUUCGUGCCAGAUUAACUGAAAUUUUUUUUGAAAUGAAUUUUUCAACGAUCCAACCGUACUGAUGUUAAUACCCACUUAUUUUAUUCAUGUACAAAAUCCAACAAAAAAUAAUAAAUUUAUCUUUUAUGACUUUUUAAUAAAUAUCUAGGAAAAAAACUAGUCCCCAAAACUGGAUCGUACCAGAUGAACUGAAAAUAUUUUUUCAAAUGAAUUUUUCAAUGAUCCAACCGUACGGAUGUUAAUAUCCACUUAUUUUAGUCAUGUACAAAAUUAAUCAAAAAAUAAUAAAUUUAUGUUGUAUGACUUUUUAAUAUAUAUCUGGUAAAAAUACUAGUCCCCACAACGGGAUUCGUAGCAGAUUAACUGAAAUAUUUUUUGAAAUGAAUUUUUCAACGAUCCAACCGUCCGAAUGUUAAUACCUACUUACUUUAGUCAUGUAAGAAAAUAAAAAAUCGUUAAUUUAUCUUGUAUGACUUUUUAAUAAAAAUACAGUAAAAAUACUAGUCCCGAAAACAGGAUUAACUGAAAUAUUUUUAAAAUGAAUUUUUCAACUAUCCAACCCUAUAUAUGUUAAUACCCACUUAUUUUGGUCAUGUACAAAAAUAAUCAAAAAAUAAUAAAUUUAUAAAUUUAUCUUGUACGACUUUUUAAAAAAAUGCUAGUAAAAUUACUAGUCCCUAAAAUAGAUAUUGUGCCACAUUCGUUGAAUUAUUUUGAUAAAAAUCCGUUGUUUCCUUAAUGAACCUUCUAGAAUAAGGUCUAAAGACAAAAGUUAUUUCAUUAAAGAUUGUUGUCUCAUCUUUCCUAGAAAGUUCUAGAACGAGUCUUUUAGACAACGGUUUUCUAUGGGAAAAUAUUCUCUGAGAAAAUCUGUGACAACAUUUCUUUUGACAAAAACCGUUGUGUAAGCGUAUCAACUUUUUUUAAUCUGACGACUGAUUUUAAAUCUCCUUUCAAUCAACGGCUCUCAUUGCACCAUCUCAGCAAUCCAAGUGAUAGUCUUAUGACUAAUCAUAUGGUGCCACCUCAUCAUGUGGUGUCUAUCGAAAUUCUAAAAGAGUUAUUUCAGACAACUGUUUCCAUCCCGUUGUGUGAUAUUGUAUAGGACAAUAUAUUCGAAAAACCAUUUUACAAACUUUUUAAUUUGUACAACACAGUUUCAAAAAGGCUUGUCUAAUUCAUUAAUUAGACAAUUGUUUUGAAACCGUUGUAGUGAUGUUUCUUAGACAAUGUUAUUUUUUUUAAUGAAAUGUAACCGCUGUGUGAAUUACACAACAUCGCGUUAAAAACCAUUGUCUUAACGAUCUAUAUUCACAACGGUUACUAGACCAUUGUGUCAACAAUGUCACACAACACUUUCAAAAAUAAAGCUUGUCUGUCAAGUUUUGAAGAUUACCACAUAGACAAUAGUUUACGUAACUAAUGUCUAUUCCGCUCUCAGACAACGGUAUGUUAAGGAAAAAUAUUUCUCCGUUGUAUGUCAGAUUGGCACAACGGAAUUUUUCCAAACCGCUGUGUAAUGUGUGUUGUCUGAGGCUGUUUUUCUUGUAGUGCUGACUCAUUUCUCGGAAUCUGAAAACCCAACUUCUUCUCCUUAGGUGCUUAGCAAUAAUUCCUUGAUCACACCCAUGGCAACAAUAUAAGCGCUUUUCCAAACUAUAUUGCCUUUACUACUGAACUAAAACUUGACGAAUUCAACAAUUCACUGACGGACUCAUGAUUUAGUAUCUUAAUCUGAGGCACCCAAAUGGUGUAAAUCAUCCCACGCCAAGCUAUAUACCAUCACCACCUGCAAGGCUGCAGCAACUUGGGAGCCCAAACUGUAGACCGAACAAACACCAUCACCAUGUCAAAACUUUAUAUAUAAGAAGAAACAUUGGCCUUAUAUCAAAUUUGGUAUUUAGCACCACUGAACAUGGGCAGAAAAGCAAUGACACAUACGCACAUAUGCGAGUUUUUGUAUCUUCUAAGCAAAAUGCAUACACUAACUAAAAUUGUCUAAAAAAACUGAAGAUCUACUUUACCAAGCUAACCGUUUAUUUGAGCCGGUACUUGCUAAAAACUGAUGCAUGAUGUCUAGCUUUUCC